CAAGUUUGUUCUUUCUUUUGCUCAAGGAUUUUUGGUGAUCCUUCUUCUCGAUUUUCUUCUUAUCCCUAAUUUUUUCCUAGACAGAUUCUUUUGAGUUGCCAGUCCACUAGGAUGCCCUAACUUUUGCUUAAGACGCCUUCUUGGUGUUCAACUUAGCGAGCUUUUUUUUCUUUUUUUCUUCUUUUUGGAAGAUUAUGACUGCCAUGUCAUUGCUUAUUGGGGAACAACUGUAAGACCCUAAUUUUGACCCUAAG
rnacentral:lncRNA from 1 species